GACGAACGCUGGCGGCGUGCUUUACACAUGCAAGUCGAACGGAAAGGCCCUGCUUUUGUUGGGUGCUCGAGUGGCGAACGGGUGAGUAACACGGGAGUAAGCUGCCCUUGACGGUGUGAUAACUCCAGGAAACUGGGGCUAAUACCGGAUAGGAGCUCCUGCUGCAGGGUGGGGGUUGGAAAGUUUGGGCCGUUGGGGAUGGACUGCGGGCUUAUCAGCUUGUUGGGGGGGUAGUGGCUUACCAAGGCUUUGAAGGAUAGGCGGCACGGGAGGGUGACCGGCGCCAUUGCGACUGAGAGACGGCGCAGACUCGUACGGUAGGCAGUGGUGGCGAAUAUUGCCCAGUGGGCGGACGCGCGAUGCAGCGGCGCCCCGUGCGGAAUCAGGGCUUUCGGGUGGAAAACCCCUUUCGCCUGUGACGACGCGUGAAUGACGGUACUGGAUGAAGAAGCACCGGCUAACUACGUG
rnacentral:rRNA from 1 species